rnacentral:rRNA from 1 species
GACGGAGGGUGCGAGCGUUGUCCGGAAUCACUGGGCGUAAAGGCGCGUAGGCGGCGCGACAAGUCAACGGUGAAAGCCUGGGGCUCAACCCCGGGUCGGCCGUCGAUACUGUUGGGCUUGAGCACUGUAGAGGCAGGUGGAAUUCCGGGUGUAGCGGUGGAAUGCGUAGAGAUCCGGAAGAACACCGGUGACGAAGGCGGCCUGCUGGGCAGUAGCUGACGCUGAGGCGCGACAGCGUGGGGAGCAAACAGGAUUA